rnacentral:ncRNA from 23 species
UAGGCAGGCCCCGCGACAGGUUCCCCGAGAGGGGAUUAAUAGGGAACUCAGGUGUGAAACCUGGGCUGCCCCCGCAACUGUAAGCGGCGAGCCCGCGCGUCAUAUGCCACUGGACGACAGUCUGGGAAGGCGGCGCGCAAAGGCUGUGACCCGUGAGCCAGGAGACCUGCCUGACGCGGUCGUCCUUCG